UACAGAGGGUGCGAGCGUUAAUCGGAAUUACUGGGCGUAAAGCGUGCGUAGACGGUCAUGUAAGUCGGAUGUGAAAGCCCCGGGCUCAACCUGGGAAUUGCCUUUGAAACUAGAGGACUUGGGUACGGGAGAGGUGAGUGGAAUUCCGAGUGUAGAGGUGAAAUUCGUAGAUAUUCGGAAGAACACCAGUGGCGAAGGCGGCUCACUGGCCCGUUACCGACGCUGAGGUGCGAAAGCGUGGGGAGCAAACAGG
rnacentral:rRNA from 1 species